AGGUGCGAUCAUACCAACAUUAAUGCACCAGUUCCCAUCAGAAAUGUGCAGGUAAGAGUGCUUGGGAUAGAGUAGUACUGGGAUGGGUGACCUCUCAGGAAGUCUUAGUGCUCCACCCU
rfam:Picea glauca, whole genome shotgun sequence.